GUGCCUAAUACAUGCAAGUCGAGCGGUCCCUUCGGGGAUAGCGGCGGACGGGUGAGUAACACGUAGGCAACCUGCCUGUAAGAUUGGGAUAACUAUCGGAAACGAUAGCUAAGACCGGAUAGCUGGUUCUCUCGCAUGAGAGAAUCAUGAAACACGGGGUAACCUGUGGCUUACAGAUGGGCCUGCGGCGCAUUAGCUAGUUGGUAGGGUAACGGCCUACCAAGGCGACGAUGCGUAGCCGACCUGAGAGGGUGAUCGGCCACACUGGGACUGAGACACGGCCCAGACUCCUACGGGAGGCAGCA
rnacentral:rRNA from 1 species